GUACCUACGGGGCGCAGCAGUGGGGAAUAUUGCACAAUGGGGGAAACCCUGAUGCAGCGACGCCGCGUGAAGGAAGAAGUAUUUCGGUAUGUAAACUUCUAUCAGCAGGGAAGAAAAUGACGGUACCUGACUAAGAAGCCCCGGCUAACUACGUGCCAGCAGCCGCGGUAAUACGUAGGGGGCAAGCGUUAUCCGGAUUUACUGGGUGUAAAGGGAGCGUAGACGGCAAGGCAAGUCUGGAGUGAAAGCCCGUGGCUCAACCACGGGACUGCUUUGGAAACUGUGUUGCUGGAGUGCAGGAGGGG
rnacentral:rRNA from 1 species